UGGGGAAUUUUGGACAAUGGGCGCAAGCCUGAUCCAGCCAUGCCGCGUGAGUGAAGAAGGCCUUCGGGUUGUAAAGCUCUUUUGUCCGGGAGCAAAUCCUGCGUCCUAAUACGGCGUAGGGAUGAGAGUACUGGAAGAAUAAGCACCGGCUAACUACGUGCCAGCAGCCGCGGUAAUACGUAGGGUGCGAGCGUUAAUCGGAAUUACUGGGCGUAAAGCGUGCGCAGGUGGUUUUGUAAGCCAGAUGUGAAAUCCCCGGGCUUAACCUGGGAAUGGCAUUUGGGACUGCAAGGCUAGAGUGUGGCAGAGGGGGGUGGAAUUCCGCGUGUAGCAGUGAAAUGCGUAGAGAUGCGGAGGAACACCGAUGGCGAAGGCAGCCCCCUGGGCUAACACUGACACUCAUGCACGAAAGCGUGGGGAGCAAACAGG
rnacentral:rRNA from 1 species